UACGAAGGGGGCUAGCGUUGCUCGGAAUUACUGGGCGUAAAGCGCACGUAGGCGGCUUGUUAAGUCAGGGGUGAAAUCCUGGAGCUCAACUCCAGAACUGCCUUUGAUACUGGAGAGCUUGAGUCCGGAAGAGGUGAGUGGAACUCCGAGUGUAGAGGUGAAAUUCGUAGAUAUUCGGAAGAACACCAGUGGCGAAGGCGGCUCACUGGUCCGGUACUGACGCUGAGGUGCGAAAGCGUGGGGAGCAAACAGG
rnacentral:rRNA from 1 species